CCUACGGGAGGCAGCAGUGAGGAAUAUUGGUCAAUGGCCGAGAGGCUGAACCAGCCAAGUCGCGUGAGGGAAGACGGCCCUACGGGUUGUAAACCUCUUUUGUCGGGGAGCAAAGCGAGUCACGUGUGACUCAUUGAGAGUACCCGAAGAAAACGCAUCGGCUAACUCCGUGCCAGCAGCCGCGGUAAUACGGAGGAUGCGAGCGUUAUCCGGAUUUCUUGGGGUGAAAGGGUGCGCAGGCGGAGGUGCAAGUCAGCGGUCAAAUAGCGGGGCUCAACCCCGUACUGCCGUUGAAACUGCAUCCCUUGAGUGCGCGAGAAGUAUGCGGAAUGCGUGGUGUAGCGGUGAAAUGCAUAGAUAUCACGCAGAACUCCGAUGGCGAAGGCAGCAUACCGGCGCGCAACUGACGCUCAUGCACGAAAGCGUGGGUAUCGAACAGGAUUAGAUACCCGAGUAGUC
rnacentral:rRNA from 1 species